UACAGAGGUCUCAAGCGUUGUUCGGAUUCAUUGGGCGUAAAGGGUGCGUAGGCGGCGCGGUAAGUCGGAUGUGAAAUCUCGGAGCUUAACUCCGAACUGCAUUCGAUACUGCCGUGCUUGAGGACUGGAGAGGAGACUGGAAUUUACGGUGUAGCGGUGAAAUGCGUAGAUAUCGUAAGGAAGACCAGUGGCGAAGGCGGGUCUCUGGACAGUUCCUGACGCUGAGGCACGAAGGCCAGGGGAGCAAACGGG
rnacentral:rRNA from 1 species